GCCGGGAUGGUGGAAUUGGUAUACACGCACGACUUAAAAUCGUGUACCGCAAGGUUUGAGGGUUCGAGUCCCUCUCCCGGCA
rfam:Parcubacteria (Yanofskybacteria) bacterium GW2011_GWA1_41_6 TT70_C0026, whole genome shotgun sequence.